UACGGAGGGUGCAAGCGUUGUCCGGAUUUAUUGGGUUUAAAGGGUGCGUAGGCGGCGUAGUAAGUCCGUGGUGAAAGCCCACAGCUCAACUGUGGAACUGCCAUGGAUACUGCUAGGCUUGAGUACAGACGAGGUAGGCGGAAUGGAUAGUGUAGCGGUGAAAUGCAUAGAUACUAUCCAGAACACCGAUUGCGUAGGCAGCUUACUAGACUGUAACUGACGCUGAGGCACGAAAGCGUGGGGAGCGAACAGG
rnacentral:rRNA from 1 species